rnacentral:rRNA from 1 species
GACGAACGCUGGCGGCGUGCUUAACACAUGCAAGUCUACGAGAACGAGAUAGCAAUAUUUUUAGUAAAGUGGCGCACGGGUGCGUAACACGUAAGCAAUCUACCUUUGGGUCUGGAAUAACUUCGAGAAAUCGAGGCUAAUACCGGAUAAUGCAGCGGCACCGCAUGGUGAUGUUGUUAAAGUUUGAGUAAUGCCUAUAGAUGAGCUUGCGUCUGAUUAGCUAGUUGGUAGGGUAAAGGCCUACCAAGGCUACGAUCAGUAGCUGGUCUGAGAGGAUGAUCAGCCACACUGGAACUGAGACACGGUCCAGACUCCUACGGGAGGCAGCAGUGAGGAAUAUUGGGCAAUGCCCGAAAGGGUGACCCAGCAACGCCGCGUGGAGGAUGAAGGCCGUAAGGUUGUAAACUCCUGUUAGAG